rnacentral:rRNA from 1 species
UACGAAGGGGGCUAGCGUUGCUCGGAAUCACUGGGCGUAAAGGGUGCGUAGGCGGGUUUUUAAGUCAGGGGUGAAAUCCUGGAGCUCAACUCCAGAACUGCCUUUGAUACUGGAGAGCUAGAGUCCGGAAGAGGUGAGUGGAACUGCGAGUGUAGAGGUGAAAUUCGUAGAUAUUCGCAAGAACACCAGUGGCGAAGGCGGCUCACUGGUCCGGUACUGACGCUGAGGUGCGAAAGCGUGGGGAGCAAACAGG